rnacentral:rRNA from 1 species
AUUGAACGCUGGCGGCAUGCCUUACACAUGCAAGUCGAACGGUAACAGGUCUUCGGAUGCUGACGAGUGGCGAACGGGUGAGUAAUACAUCGGAACGUGCCCGAUCGUGGGGGAUAACGGAGCGAAAGCUUUGCUAAUACCGCAUACGAUCUACGGAUGAAAGCAGGGGACCGCAAGGCCUUGCGCGGACGGAGCGGCCGAUGGCAGAUUAGGUAGUUGGUGGGAUAAAAGCUUACCAAGCCGACGAUCUGUAGCUGGUCUGAGAGGACGACCAGCCACACUGGGACUGAGACACGGCCCAGACUCCUACGGGAGGCAGCAGUGGGGAAUUUUGGACAAUGGGCGAAAGCCUGAUCCAGCCAUGCCGCGUGCAGGAUGAAGGCCUUCGGGUUGUAAACUGCUUUGUACGAACGAAAGACUCCUUCUAAUAAAGGGGUCCAAUGACGGUACCGUAAGAAUAAAGCACCGGCUAACUAACGUGCCAGCAGCCGCGGUAAACUCGU